ACUUCUAUGUAAUGUGUAAUAUUUACCUUCCUUUUUCAAUCUGCGGUUUUAUGGAGUGUGUGAUCUAUUCCCCUAAAGUUGUUUGGUGCUUCUCCCCUGCGUCUCCCUCCUCCUAUAUGCAGAUCAGAAAGAAAAGAAGCAACGGUGUGCUGCUUCUACCUGCAUACAUCCUGCUAAGUCAAAGGUCAAAGGCGACUUUCUGGACAUUGACCAUUCAGCAUGGUAUUCUCCGUCAUUGAGGC